CCUACGGGAGGCAGCAGUAGGGAAUAUUGCUCAAUGGGGGAAACCCUGAAGCAGCAACGCCGCGUGAGGGAUGAAGGUUUUCGGAUUGUAAACUCCUUUUGUUAGGGAAGAUAAUGACGGUAUCUAACGAAUAAGCACCUGCUAACUCCGUGCCAGCAGCCGCGGUAAUACGGAGGGUGCAAGCGUUACUCGGACUCACUGGGCGUAAAGAGCGCGUAGGCGGGAGAGCAAGUCAGAUGUGAAAGCCUAGGGCUUAACCAUAGAACUGCAUUUGAAACUGUUAUUCUAGAGUAUGGGAGAGGUAGGUGGAAUUCGUGGUGUAGGGGUAAAAUCCGUAGAGAUCAAGAGGAAUACUCAUUGCGAAGGCGACCUGCUAGAACAUAACUGACGCUGAUGCGCGAAAGCGUGGGGAGCAAACAGGAUUAGAUACCCGAGUAGUC
rnacentral:rRNA from 1 species